rnacentral:rRNA from 1 species
UACGAAGGGGGCUAGCGUUGUUCGGAAUUACUGGGCGUAAAGCGCGCGCAGGUGGUCUUUCAAGUCAGUGGUGAAAGCCCGGAGCUCAACUCCGGAAAUGCCAUUGAAACUGUGAGACUUGAGGACGAGAGAGGUGAGUGGAAUUCCCAGUGUAGAGGUGAAAUUCGUAGAUAUUGGGAAAGAACACCGGUGGCGAAGGCGGCUCACUGGCUCGUAUCUGACGCUCAGGCGCGACAGCGUGGGGAUCAAACAAGG